CAUCACUAACAAUCUCUCUCUUUCUUGAUGAAAAAUCAUUAGUCUCAUAAAAAACAUGCAUUGAUUCUUCUAUAACUAAGUUUCGUUUGUUAAAAAUUUUAUAUUCUUUAUUAGAAGUGGAAUAACCAAGGAAGAUAGCUUCAUCAAAUUUUACAUCAAGCUUUCCUAAUUUAACUUUACCAUUAUUCAAAACAAAACACCA
rnacentral:lncRNA from 1 species